CCUUCAAGUUUUCUACACAUUUCUUCUUCUUAUCCUCUCCUUCUCUCUCUAGAUCACUCCCUCUCUCUCUAAGCUCUUGGAGGAUGGAAGAAUGAAAUGGAAGUUAUGAGGAAAUAGGAAAGAAGGGGUCCGUAUCUAUAGAAAAUGAGGAACAUUAGAUUUGCACCAAGUGACAAAAUCUGGUGAGUAGCGAAAAAGUUAAUGGGAAAGGAGUGAUGUGAUGCGACCCGAUCGUAGUAUAAAAAAUAGAGGCACGUCUCCCAACCAACAACAACACACCGCCAAUCGGUGGCACACACUACCCAAGAUAGUGCACGGUGCCCAAGGGGGAACAACACACUGCCC
rnacentral:lncRNA from 1 species